UACGGAGGGUGCAAGCGUUAUCCGGAUUCACUGGGUUUAAAGGGAGCGUAGGUGGGCUGGUAAGUCGGUGGUGAAAUCUCCGGGCUUAACUCGGAAACUGCCGUUGAUACUAUCAGUCUUGAAUAUUGUGGAGGUAAGCGGAAUAUGUCAUGUAGCGGUGAAAUGCUUAGAUAUGACAUAGAACACCGAUAGCGAAGGCAGCUUGCUACACAAUUAUUGACACUGAGGCUCGAAAGCGUGGGGAUCAAACAGG
rnacentral:rRNA from 1 species